rnacentral:rRNA from 1 species
UACGUAGGGGGCAAGCGUUGUCCGGAAUCAUUGGGCGUAAAGCGCGUGUAGGCGGCUCGAUAAGUCUGCUGUGAAAGUCCAGGGCUCAACCCCGGGAUGCCGGUGGAUACUGUCGAGCUCGAGUCCGGAAGAGGCGAGUGGAAUUCCUGGUGUAGCGGUGAAAUGCGCAGAUAUCAGGAGGAACACCAAUGGCGAAGGCAGCUCGCUGGGACGUGACUGACGCUGAGACGCGAAAGCGUGGGGAGCAAACAGG